AGCUAAUCAUGUUGUGGCCGAGAGCUGGCAGCUUUGACAAAUCAAUUUGCAAACACACCCGUGCAAAGUUUGCCUUCUCCAUCGCGCAAACGCAGCUUGCUCCAGGUUUAGCCACACACUGGUCUACCCAAUGGCCGUAGUGACAUGUAACAUCGUUUUUUCGGUCCAUGGUAAGCGGACCAAAACGACCGUCAUCUGAAUAGCAGCAGCCUCGGAUUGAAACUUGGCUAGCCACUGUCACAGGCUCCGACCUCCAAACUUG
rnacentral:lncRNA from 1 species